rnacentral:tRNA from 1 species
GACAAAAGAGUUACUNUGAUAGAGUAAAUAAUANAGGUUUAAACCCUCUUAUUUCUA